UACGUAGGUGGCAAGCGUUGUCCGGAUUUACUGGGCGUAAAGGGCGCGUAGGCGGCCGUGGAAGUCAGGCGUGAAAGCCCCGGGCUCAACCUGGGAAUUGCGCUUGAUACUCCGGGGCUUGAGUUCGGGAGAGGAGAGUGGAAUUCCCAGUGUAGAGGUGAAAUUCGUAGAUAUCGGGAGGAACACCGGUGGCGAAGGCGGCGAUCUGGGUAGAUACUGACGCUGAGGUGCGAAAGCGUGGGGAGCAAACAGG
rnacentral:rRNA from 1 species